rnacentral:rRNA from 1 species
GGCGAACGGGUGAGUAACACGUAGGUAACCUACCCUCAUACAUGGGAUAACUGAUGGAAACGUCAGCUAAAACCGUAUAGAUACAGAACAGGCAUCUAUUUUGUAGGAAAGGUGCGAAUGCACUGGAUGAGGAUGGACCUGCGGUGCAUUAGCUAGUUGGUGAGGUAGAGGCUCACCAAGGCGAUGAUGCAUAGCCGACCUGAGAGGGUGACCGGCCACAUUGGGACUGAGACACGGCCCAA